GGGGGAAUAUUGCACAAUGGGCGCAAGCCUGAUGCAGCCAUGCCGCGUGUGUGAAGAAGGCCUUCGGGUUGUAAAGCACUUUCAGCGGGGAGGAAGGCGUUAAGGUUAAUAACCUUGGCGAUUGACGUUACCCGCAGAAGAAGCACCGGCUAACUCCGUGCCAGCAGCCGCGGUAAUACGGAGGGUGCAAGCGUUAAUCGGAAUUACUGGGCGUAAAGCGCACGCAGGCGGUCUGUCAAGUCGGAUGUGAAAUCCCCGGGCUCAACCUGGGAACUGCAUUCGAAACUGGCAGGCUAGAGUCUUGUAGAGGGGGGUAGAAUUCCAGGUGUAGCGGUGAAAUGCGUAGUGGUCUGGAGGAAUACCGGUGGCGAAGGCGGCCCCCUGGACAAAGACUGACGCUCAGGUGCGAAAGCGUGGGGAGCAAACAGG
rnacentral:rRNA from 1 species